rnacentral:rRNA from 1 species
UACGUAGGGUGCAAGCGUUGUCCGGAAUUAUUGGGCGUAAAGAGCUCGUAGGCGGUUUGUCGCGUCUGCCGUGAAAGUCCGGGGCUCAACUCCGGAUCUGCGGUGGGUACGGGCAGACUAGAGUGCAGUAGGGGAGACUGGAAUUCCUGGUGUAGCGGUGAAAUGCGCAGAUAUCAGGAGGAACACCGAUGGCGAAGGCAGGUCUCUGGGCUGUAACUGACGCUGAGGAGCGAAAGCGUGGGGAGCAAACAGG